rnacentral:rRNA from 1 species
UGGCUCAGAGCGAACGCUGGCGGCACGCCUAACACAUGCAAGUCGAGCGAGAAAGUGACUUCGGUCGCGAGUAAAGCGGCGAACGGGUGAGUACAACGUGGAUAAUCUACCCUAAGGUCUGGGACAACCCCGAGAAAUCGGGGCUAAUACCGGAUAAGACCACAGUAUCCAAGGAUACAGCGGUAAAAGAUUUAUCGCCUUUGGAUGAGUCCACGCCCCAUCAGGUAGUUGGUAAGGUAAAGGCUUACCAAGCCUAAGACGGGUAGCCGGCCUUAGCGGGUGAACGGCCACAUGGGGACUGAGACACGGCCCUGACUCCUACGGGAGGCAGCAGUGGGGAAUAUUGGGCAAUGGGCGAAAGCCUGACCCAGCGAUGCCGCGUGAGGGAUGAAGGCCUUCGGGUUGUAAACCUCUGUCAGGAGGGACGAUGGGACUUUGUCUUGACGGUACCUCCAGAGGAAGCCCCGGCUAACUCCGUGCCAGCAGCCGCGGUAAUACGGGAGGGGGGCAAGCGUUGCUCGGAAUUACUGGGCGU